rnacentral:misc_RNA from 1 species
GACGUAAACAGAGGAUUUUUUUUUUUUUUUUUUUUUUUUUUUUUUUUUUUUAAUACCAGGAAGAAAGUAAUUCGUGACAAUUUUCGAUCUUUUAACCCUUAGGUGCUCAAAGUCAACUACUUCAUUUACAGAAACAAGAGGAAGCAUACAAAAGUGGCUUGAGUGACAGAUGAAAAGUGCUGCUAUGUUUGGAUUAAAGAUUUUUUAUGAGGCAGUGACUGAUGAAGUGAUGACAAUUAUAAUGAAGAGCUUCAAGAAAAUAGACUAUCUAAUGCUCUUAAUGGUUCUGGAAAUCACUGCAUGAGAGCAAGUACAGUGGUUUGGAUUGGCGCAUAGAAUACAGCAAAGCCUCGAGGGCUAUCUGCCUAAGGAUAGGGAUGCCAUCAAGGAGGACUUUCUAAGGGAAACUGGCUCACAUGGGGAACAACACAAAAAUGACCAUGCAGGUAGCCAGUGUUUAGCAACUUUACCAUUAGGCCACUAGUGUGCUAGCAGGUACAUUGAAUGGUGAUGACUUGCAAGCUGUAGCAGAUGACACAAACAAAAAUUCCAGCAGCACUGAAUGAUAGAAGGCCUGAGGAAUAGCCAUGGAAAAUAAGAGUGAGAAUUAAAGUACAGUGAAGUAGAAAGCAAAAUAUCUUAUUAGCUAUUGUAAUGUUAACAUUACUAUGUAUUCUCAUCAGAAUGUUGAUCUGAUCUACAUAAAUAAUAUUUUGAUAGUUUAUCCAUCAAUACUUUUAAAUUCAUUAUGUUCUGACUGCAAAUACAUCCUUCAGAAAUUAAAUUAUUUGGGUAAUUUUCCCUACUUGAUUUUCAUAUGAAAUUUGUAGAAAAAAAGGGGGAAAUACUCAUGAAAUACUGUAUUUUAAGUUUGUAACCCAGAUUUCUAUUUUUUUAUCUGUAUUACGUUAUCUGUAAUAAAUUCUUUAAAAAUUUU